GAUGAACGCUGGCGGCGUGCCUAAUACAUGCAAGUCGAGCGAACGGACGAGAAGCUUGCUUCUCUGAUGUUAGCGGCGGACGGGUGAGUAACACGUGGAUAACCUACCUAUAAGACUGGGAUAACUUCGGGAAACCGGAGCUAAUACCGGAUAAUAUUUUGAACCGCAUGGUUCAAAAGUAAAAGGCGGUCUUGCUGUCACUUAUAGAUGGAUCCGCGCUGCAUUAGCUAGUUGGUAAGGUAACGGCUUACCAAGGCAACGAUGCAUAGCCGACCUGAGAGGGUGAUCGGCCACACUGGAACUGAGACACGGUCCAGACUCCUACGGGAGGCAGCAGUAGGGAAUCUUCCGCAAAGGGCGAAAGCCUGACGGAGCAACGCCGCGUGAGUGAUGAAGGUCUUCGGAUCGUAAAACUCUGUUAUUAGGGAAGAACAUAUGUGUAAGUAACUGUGCACAUCUUGACGGUACCUAAUCAGAAAGCCACGGCUAACUACGUG
rnacentral:rRNA from 1 species